GCUGAACCCAAAGCCCAGUCAGUAGAGCAAGAGACUCUUAAUCUCAGAGCUGUGGGUUCAAAUCCCAAGUUGAGCA